rnacentral:tRNA from 1 species
GUUAACGUAGCUUAACUAAAGCAUAACACUGAAGAUGUUAAGAUAGGUCCUAGAAAGACCCCGUAAACA